ACCGGUCUCUUGACCUCAGGGACCGGUCCCUGAACACAGAAAAGUUCAGUAAAAUAUUUUUAAAACAAUCUAAGCCUUCUGAACUUAUUCUAAUAAAAAAUCUUCACCACAAAUGAUCUUUUCCUCAUACCUUAGGUGCCGAACUUUACGAGUGAAUCUUUUUCCUUCAAUUUAGAUCUUUUCUUCAAUCUUCCGCAACCAACUUUUAAGGCUCCAUUCAACAUUACGAAAUCCGCCAACCUAUAAAAUCCUUAACAGGAAGGUGAUUGCCUACGCAUCCCGUCAGCUGAA
rnacentral:lncRNA from 1 species